ACUAGUGAUUAAUGAAUGCUCUGAGCUGCCUCAGUGGUUUGUGCAAGUGGGCGCCAAAAUGGCUGGUAAAGAUGAGCUUCCACAAAUGACUGAAAAAAAGCAUAAGCAGCACAGGCUCCACCAGUAUGGAGAGGAGCCUUGCUCCUGUUUGUUUUGGGUUAUACUAGUCCUUCCCAUUUUCCUCAGAUUGGAUAGCUAAGCACUGAAUAAUGCCACUCACGACGAUGGAAAUGUAUACUGUCACCUUUGAUAACACUGAUACAACCAUAUUUGUGCAGCAGCAUUUGCAUCAACAUAAAUUACACCACUGGACAUUCAAAUACAUUCUGAAGAUGAAAGUACAGAUGUAGAUUCAGUCUAUUUUUGAACAGAGUGGAUAGGCAGGUGCUUAAAUUUAAGCCAGUGGAUUUUAAAUGUAUUCCUCCUCUAGGAGGAUUAAAAAUCAAAUGGUGUUUGUGGAGGGCUAAUAGAUAAUUUUCGAAGAUGCUCCAUUCAAUUUUUCAAAGCUGGCAGAAGCUGUGUGUGAUCGAAGGAUGGAGAGGAAGAACAACUAAGUCCUACCAACUGGAGAGGAACAUUCCACUCUACUUGUUGUGCCCAGAGAAUGAUAAGCUUUGGAGAAAAUAGGCUUGGAAAUCUGUUUUCUGUAAAUGAUAUAACCAAUUCAUGCCAGUAACAUAAUUUGUUGAUAAGCUUCAGUUUCAUACAGACAUAUUACUGUAUUUGUGGAUUGUCUUUAAGAUGCUCAUAGUAGCAGAGCUGAAAAACAAAACCACGCGUGUAGCAUGCAGCAGUUGGUCAGAAAGCAAUUGUGAUUGGUAAUUUUCCAGAGAGACCUGAGGGGGGCAAGUUGCAUUUAUGUGAUCUAAAUCCACUGGUUGCAUUCAGGGGGAUUAACAUCUGUUAAAAGUAUUAUGUUUAUCAUGCAGGUGUUCCAAUAUUUGUAUUUAUUACGUGUUGCAGCAACAGUCUCUGAGAAAACAUUCAUAUAACAAUCUGGUUGUUUUAUUGUCUGAAUCUGUCAGGACAGUCAUUUUGUUACUCCAACAUUGUGAUGCCCUUGCAAGCUGUAAACUGUUUAAUGAAGUGAGCAUAUGGAGAAAGAUGACAGACUUUCAAACUUUUGGAAGACAGUUUUACAUCAGAGACGUUAGUUUUUGCACAUGGGACUGUUCCUAAUACAUGUAUGGCAAAAAUGUUGAAUUAGAUAGAACAUUUCCAGAAUUCCGUUGAAUUCCCCUGUGCAGGUCUAUAUUUGACAUUGCUUUCAUUUUGUCAAUAAACAAAACACUUAGGUUCCAAUAUUAAUAGAAAUAAAUAUUCCAUGAAGUAUCU
ensembl:lncRNA